UUGAUGAAACCGAAUGAUUUGAUCGCAUCAUCAAAAUGAUUUGUGGAUCCAUAAUCCUAACUUGGGUUGCUCUAAUGAUUCUCUUAAUCUCAGAGUCUAAGAAUCGUAAUUCUAGUUGUAGUGAUCUAAGACCAAGCAUACACCAUAAUUCUCAAGCAAACCCUAGUCUAUAUAUAUAUAUAUAUAUAUAUAUAUAACAA
rnacentral:lncRNA from 1 species